AUAACAGUCAUUUGUUCGUGAAUCGUGUUUUAUGCUUUGAUUCACAAAAAAGAACCGAGUCAUUUGUUCGUUAAGCGUGCUUCACUGCUCACGCUCACAGUGUAAUAUUAUAGAUCAGUGUCACUCACGCUAUAUGUUUUUGAAUCACUAAAAUGAAUCGGCCGAUAAGAGUCACGUUUUUUUCUUGAAUCAGAACACGAGACAUAUUGACGUUUUAGCUUGCAGUUUUCCGCGAAAACAACUCAAAAGAAAGACGUUACUAUUCUUGGUCAGUCUUCUAUUGCAGAAAGCUCACAUUCACAACUCAGAUGGCAAUGAGAUUACAUGGACAGUAAAUGAAGACUGAACUCAUACUCAAAGUUCUUCUCCCAAGAAACCAAGAAGAAAGUCGUUUCACAUGAAUUUUUGGAGUAACAUCUGAGACAAAUUUGAUACUUGAAAGAAACAACUGAGAACUGAAUGACUUCUCCUGAGGUAUGAAAGAGCAACCAGCCCAGAGAAGCUCAUGUUGAGCACGUGUCCUCAAGCACCUCAUUCCCACAGAAUGCAGAACGGCGUCCAGAUCCUCUUAUCUGGAGGAGAAAUCCAGCUGCACCUCGGAAAUAUUUGACAGGCUCAGAGGAGCCUGUGAUCGUGUGACUCUCUGAGCGCUCGGGCUCUGAAAUAACAAAGCAUGGGUUAAACAAAGACAAGCACUAGCAGAUGUGUGGGAGCAGCAGGCUCCAGAUCAGUCAACAGACACGUAAAGCUGCCCGAUUCACUUCUCGAGGUAAAACAUUUGUCAUCCGCAUCCACUCAGAGCCAAGCUUUUGGCAAGCGUCUUUAUCGUUUCUUACCACGUUGCUGCCACACAAAGAAACACGCAACUGAAAACAUCAUGUAGCUCGCAGCCCUGUAUGAAAGGAAGGAUCACAAAUGAGAUCUUUUUAAUAUAUCAAUUGUUUCUCCUAAACAAAUAUGAGAUUACAUGGUGAUCAGAUGGAGACAUUUGCUUAAAGGAGUUAUAUUUCAACAGAAAUUUGAGCGGAAAGUUGAUACUGACUGCAAAUGAAGGUAAUUAAACAUGUUUUCCUCUAGGGGUCACAAAAUGUAUAAAUGAAGUCUGGUAAAUAAUGCAAAGACCGAUGCUGUUUGAAAUCGUCCAUGCUGUUAACAUAAGGUGCACAUCAAAUUAACAUUCACACAUAAUCUGAAAGCUGAAUAAAUAAGCUUUCCAUGGAUGUAUGGUUUGUUAGGACAGGACCAUAUUUGGCCGAGAUACUAUUUGAAAAUCACCUUUAAAGUUGUCCAAAUGAAAAAAAUAAGUUUUGAUAUAUUUAUGGUAGGAAAUUUACAAAAAAUCUUCAUGGAACAUGAUCUUUACUUGAUAUCCUAAUGAUUUUUGGCAUAAAAGAAAAUUCGAUCAUUUUGACCCAUACAAUGUAUUGUUGGCUAUUGCUACAAAUAUACCUGCGCUACUUAAGACUGCUUUUGUGCUCCAGGGUCACAUAUAAUCGAAAAUACAAGUCAUCUGACCUGUCACAUACUCAGAUGUUCAUCUGAUGUUUACAAGAAAAAUCAUAGGUUAUGUUUGGAAUGGGAUGCUUGCAUACUGCACAGUAUAUAUGUUGGCUAUAGGAUUUUUUAAAUAGCAUUACAUUACAGUGCUGUAUGUAGUAUACAGUGAUAAUGUUUCAAACAGAAUUGUUAUCAUAUACUCAACAUGUUGCAUAUUUAUUGAGUGAGCAGUGUCUCAUCUCAGAAAUUAUAUUUAUUUAUUUCAUUUAUUUAUUUGUUUAUUUUAUUUAUUUAUUUAUCACAUUUUUUUUUUUUCAUUUGUAAUCCAAUUUUGGGAGAAAAUUAAUUCUGUUAGUCUGGUUAUAUCAAGAGUAGUAAUGCCAAAAGUAAUAAUGGCUGAUAAUGUUUCCACUGGUUUUGUCACUUUAAAAAUGGAAGAACAAGCAAAGUGCAUUACUUUGCAUUUCAGCUCAGGAAACAUAAUAUAUCAGCUUUGUCUCUCUCUCUCUCUCUCUCUCUCUCAAUUCAAUUCAAGUGUGCUUUAUUGGCAUGACAAAAACUAUACAUUUG